GUAGUGGAGUGGAGUGUAGUGUAGUGUAGUGUAGUGGAGUGUAGUGUAGUGUAGUGUAGUGGGAGUGGUAGGGUAGUGGAGUGUAGUGUAGUGUAGUGGAGUGUAGUGUAGUGUAGUGUAGUGUAGUGGAGUGUAGUGUAGUGUAGUGUAGUGUAGUGUAGUGUAGUGUAGUGUAGUGUAGUGGAUUGUAGUGUAGUGUAGUGUAGUGGAGUGUAGUGGAGUGUAGUGUAGUGGAGUGUAGGUUGGCUCAGUGAGGUAUAGUGUAAUGUGGUGUAAUGUGGUACUGGGUCUGGUUUAGUGUGGUACUGGGUCUGGUUUAGUGUGGUA